UACGUAGGGGCUAGCGUUAUCCGGAAUCACUGGGCGUAAAGGGUGCGUAGGUGGUUUCUUAAGUCAGAGGUGAAAGGCUACGGCUCAACCGUAGUAAGCCUUUGAAACUGGGAAACUUGAGUGCAGGAGAGGAGAGUGGAAUUCCUAGUGUAGCGGUGAAAUGCGUAGAUAUUAGGAGGAACACCAGUUGCGAAGGCGGCUCUCUGGUCUGUAACUGACGCUGAGGCUCGAAAGCGUGGGGAGCAAACAGGAUUAGAUACCCUGGUAGUCCCUGA
rnacentral:rRNA from 1 species